GAAAGAGAUCAAGGGGAUUCUUGUGAGCAAGGUUCUUCCUGGUACCUGAUUGGGCAACUGGAUGAAGAAGAGGGAAAGGAAAAAGCUGCCUGAGCCCCCCAAGACAUCAGGUGCCCUCCUUAUGGUGACUGCAGAGAUCCUGGGAAGAGUCAAAGGUUAUUCAAAUCCAGACUGGACCCAAAGGGGUUCACAGAGAGGCAGGAGACCGCUUGGAAAAGCACCUAACAGGAAGCCAGAGUAGGUCCUCUGAAGGUGUUUGUUCAAUGAACUUGUCAUCCUCCUCAACUUAAAGCCUUUAGCUUUUCCAAUUUGGAGGCACAAAUAAGUGAGAACUUGGGGAUCCACUGAGGUCUGAGGCACGGUGGUACCAGAGGAGAUGAAGGGGCUUUCAGCAUGAAGCUGGUCCCCUGUCGACAGCACGCUGAUUUUCCCGUUGGGCUCUAUCAGCAUGUCCACUGUGAGACCAUGCUUGUGAAAAUACCAGGACGGUAAAUUAGUGAAUUCCAAAGUCAGGAUUUUUGUUGGAUCUGGCACAGUCACAGGAAAGUCUGAGUUUUCUCAAGGGCAUCCCUGUCUCACCGAGGGGCACCAAGGACAGACGACCAGAAGCAAAUGGCGCAGUCACCGUCAGAGGAGAGUAAAACUCAUUCUGAAACGGUUCCAAAUGCCCAUGCCUGCUCUGUGGUUUUCAGCAAAGCGGACCUUUCCAAAAGACCUCCAACAGGGACUUCCUGGAUGUGAGAACACUAACCAAUUCUCGUUCCUCUCAUCUUUUGCUUUAUUCCUUCCUUCCAUGCUGUUAUUGCGAAAAACUGGUAGUUAAAUUCAAUUGAUUCAAAAUAUUCGGGAUCCAUAUGGCCGCCAACCCUGGAGCUGAAGCGGCGAUAGCGCCUCACUGCUGUUUUCAAGCAUUUGCCUCUCCUCCAGUCCCCAGAUGGUGGGAGUAACAUUUAAACCUCCUUUUCUCUGCCUUGUACAAUAGACCUUGGCACCAUUUCAACUGUUUACUCCGGUAAUUAACAGCUCUGAUACCACAACAAUUACAACUCCUACACUCUCACCACAAUAAUGCUAUGAAUUAGUGAGAGCUAAUGGCUGGAAGGUAGAGUGUUUCCAGACUGUGGGAUCUGUGCAUUUUUAGAAUAAAAUAAAAGGUACAAACAGCACGCUUGCAGUAGACAAUGAUUACCUAGUAAUUAGUUUACACAAAGCUUCCUAUUUAAUGGCAAAACGCUGUAAUUAACGUGUGACAGAAAAUCAAAGGGUACUUUGUAAGCAUAUUAAAAAUUAACACUGCAGGCCCAUAGCUUUAUGUACUGAUUAGAAGCAUAUUAAAUCAAUAGGACACACAAACCAACAGCUUGGGUAGCUGAUUAUUAUAGGUCCUCAGAAGGGGUACCCUGGCUUUCAUUUCACUUGGGGAGGCAAUUUUCCUUCUCCUGUCAUCUUCCUCAGGCACAGAGAAACACCUCAAACUCAACCCUGGCAGCUUCAUGAAAAUAACCACUGAACUGGAAGAAAACAUUCUAAGUCAUUCUCAGAGAUGAAGACAAAUAUGUAAAUGAUUAAGACUUUCCAAUGAUUGUGGUGACGUGCUGCUACACUAAUUAGAAAAUACACCAACUGGAACCAGAAAAUAAAGCCACUGGGUUGCAAUCUUCCGGUCAGAAUAAUCUCUACUUUGUCAAGCCUCUUUAUUCAACUCAUAGAAAGUUCAAAUAAAUGGAACUGUUUUAUAUUUCUAAAUGAUAAGAAAGCAGGCUGCUAUGAAGACUUAUUCUUUCCAAGGCACUGUCUGGGUAAAGCAUAGGCUGGGAACAACUGGAUCAACCAACAUUCUGUAUCUUCAACAGCCACAACCCCAUAUAAUGAUGGCUGAUGGACAUAGACAGCAAUAUCCUGGAAGCCUACCAGAGCCUAAAGAACCUUCUGAAUCACCAAAGAAAGAUUAAGUUGUAUGUACUUGUUCAAUGUUACCUGUAUUUUGUUAUAAUACAAUUUUAUGGUAAUAAUAACAACAAUAAUAAUAGGUAGCAUUUCUUAAAGUCUUAUUAUGUGCUAAGCACACUGCUAGCCAAUUCAUAGAAUUAUCUCAUUUACUUGUCACCACUUCCCCAUGAGACAGGUACUAAUCUCUCUUUACAGAUAGAGAAAGGGAGACUUGGAGAGCUGAAGUAAUUUGCCUAUAGUUAUCCCCCAGGGAGCAUGGGAGUCUAACCUAGGUGUCCCUGGCUAUGGAACCCCAGGAAGCCAAACUACCUCUUAGUUACCCUGAAUGACUAGCCUGUUCCAACACUCAUUCUGCUUAAAAGGCAGUUUACUAUGUCAACCUGGAAUAGGAGACUAAAAAAAUUAAAACAAAAACAAAAUAUUUGGUUGCUUAUUUUUUUAAAAAACAGGGUGUUUCUGCUUUUAGAGAUAGGAGUCUUGUUCUGUCACCCAGGCUGGAGAGUGGUGGUGCAGUCAUGACUCAUUGCAGCCUCAAACUCCUGGGCUCGAGUGAUCCUCUUUCUUCAGGCUCCUAAGUAGCUGGAACUACAGGCACACACCUAAUUUUUAAAUUUUUUGUAGAGAUAGGGUCUCACUAUAUUGCCCAGGCUGGUCUUGAACUCCUGGCCUCAAGCCAACUCCCACCUCAGCCUUCCAAAGUGUUGGGAUUACAAAAUAUUACAGGAGUGAUCGACUGCACUGGGCUAAAAACAAGGGUUUUAAAUGCUUACCAUAUUUUUAAUGCUACAUCUGAUUGUGAAGGUGGGCUACUCAAAGCUUUUUGGGAAUUUACAGGCUCACUAAAAUGAUCACGAUAGUGUAUUAAAUUGAGAAAGGCAUUGAAAAUCUGUCAUUCCCAUGAACAACCAAAGGGUGAUGUCUAAAAUUCUCUCUCAUCACCCAUGCACAUAACCAGGUAUAUGAGGCAGUUGGGUUGCAAGAGCUGAAUCCUAGAAACUCCUAGGCAGGGCUCCUCCUCUCCAGCUCUGAGGUGUGUGUAUUGAUGGCCCCCUACACCUCCCAGUUUGCUGCCUUGUGGGAAAAGGAGACCAGCUCUUCUGUUAUCUAGGAAAGGGAAGAAAUUUGAGAGCAGUGGCCUCUGUGUUCCAGGAAUAUUUGCGUUUCCCACAAAUCUCUGGAAAGCAGAAAGCUUGCCACAAGGGCAGCACACGGUAUGAGUCACAAAGGCAAGGACCUGAGGGAGAACACUUCCCAGGACUUUCAAAUAAGGUCUUUCCUAAAUGUACUUGGCUCAGUGUGGCAAAAGCACUGGGCUAGCAGCAGUCAGAUGUGGGUUCAAAGCAAGGCACAAUCAUUUAUUAGCUAUAAAUUUGGGCAAGUCACUUCUUGAGAAUAAGUUUCUUCAUCUGUAAACAGAAGUAAUACCUUCCUUAUAUCUUAAAUUGGUGUGGAAGUAAAUGAGUAAAAACCUCAGGGUUUUUCUGAGUUUAAAUGAGACAAUUCAUGUAACGUGCUUAGCACAAUACCUGGUACCCAGUAGGUACUCUGCAGUAUUUAUUGAUGAUGAUGAUGAUGAUGAUGAUGAUGAUGAUGAUGACAAAGAAAUACAAGGAAAUGUCAACACCUUAACAGUGCAUUCAUAGAUCUACAAAAUGCUUAAUCUCAGUGUUCUGGCAACCACUAAAUACAUAAAGAUAAUCUAAGACAUCAAGAUUUCAACAUAUAAAAAUAAAUAUAAAAACAAGUGAACAAUAAUCAUUUAUAUGUAGUUUCAUGACUGGAAAAAAUAAUAACCUAGAUUUUUUCUUAACCUAGAAAAUCUAGAUUAAAAAAUAAAGAUCUUGCAUUUUUGAUAUAAAACACAAAUAAUAAGGACAUGAAAAAAGAAUAUCCCUUGCUAGUAAUCAAAUAAUAGCAAUGAGAAGCUGGAUUCUUAUAUCUAAAAUAAAAGUGCAAAUAGUUCAUAAUAUCCAUUGGUGGUAAGGUUGUGGUAAAACUAGUAUUCUUAUUCUCUGCCAGUUGCUUUGGAAAUUGGUACUAUCUUUUUAGGAAUAUGGCAAUAUGUAACAAAAGCCAUAAAAUAUUCUACUCCUGGGUCUUUCUCCUCGGGAAGUAACUCAACAGAAGCAAAAAGAGGUGUAUACAAAAACCAAAUAUAAAAACAAACAAAUCUUUCCUCCCUCUUUCCUCCCACUGCCAAAAAAUGAAAGCUGGGAAUAGCCUAAAUUUCCAACUUAGUUGAAUUGUUCAAUAUAUUAGAGUUCAUCAAUAUGAGAGAAUAUUAUGCAUCUAAUAAUUGUGACGACUAUGUAUAAACAUGGAAAAUAUUUAAGAUCUGAUGUUUAACUAGCAUAUACACUAUUAUUGUAGCUAUGAGAAAGAAAUACUGCAUAUUUAGAAAUUAAUAUACAAAAAUGAAAACAACUAUGUUUGGGGACAGUGAUUAUGUACUUUUAAAUUUUUUUUAAUCUUGUUAUCUUUAAACUUUUCUAAAAAUGAUGUGAUUACAAGCAAUGGCUCUUUGGGAUCACCUAAUAAAUACCUACUAAAUUCUAGACGGGACAACGAGCUCUGCCAUCCUGCAAUGGCUCCUGUGACCUAGUUCCAGGGCCAUUCUGAAUGGACAGAGGUCUUCACAAUGGAGGUGGAGAUGCAGGGAGCUCUAUGGCAUGAAAUGGUUAAUGAUUCUCUUUUGUAAUUGUGUUUUCUGUUUGCUGCCUUAGUUCUAAAAGGAGGCAAAACAACUGUGGUUUAUUCUACCUUUUCCAGGCAUAGUUCUUCUCCUACCUUUGUGAUCCCCAAAUUAAUAUCAAAUGUCUAAUUAGUUUUUUUCUCCAUUGGUGAUCCCCAAAUUAAUAUCAAAUGUCAGACAAAGUAAAUCAAAGUACAAAUAAAGGUAAAACUGCUCUUGCAAAGGGCUAAAAUAGCAAUGUUUACUAGAAGCAUUCAAGAGCCAGUUCAAUUUCCUAUUUCUCAUUAAGUGGUAAAAUAGUAAUGCCAAGACCACAUCCCAGAAUCUCCAGGGUAACAGAGGCCCAACGAAGGGCUGCAGAGAAACUUGAAAGUAAACUGGCUUAGUUCUUUACACACAGAAAUUGUUCUACAAAGAUCUCUUGCAAAGCAGUGUCACCAGUAGCAUCACUGCCACUAAGCCAAUGUCCCAGGAAUUGAGGAAAGGAAGACACCCUUAAAGAAAAAAAUGGAAAAAAGCCACAAGGACUGGUACCACAGUAAAUGUCUGCCUGGGUCUCCCUAAACUGUCUUAGGUGAGCUUACCCAGGAAUGUUUCUCCCCUACAUGUUUGCCUUCCUUUGUUUAAGCCUUUAUUCCUCCUAAAUGAAAAUAAAUACCCCCGACUGGGGAACGUGGAGUUUGGAGUGUGUGCAAGAGUGUGGAUUCAUUAAAACUUAACGAGCAGAGUACUUAAGUGAAUGAGUUUACUGGAACUUGUUGGGGGAAGUAGGUUUUGUUAGCUGGU
rnacentral:lncRNA from 10 species